GAUGAAGAACGUAGCGAAUUGCGAUAUGUAAUGUGAAUUGCAGAAUUCAGUGAAUCAUCGAAUCUUUGAACGCACAUUGCACCCUCUGGUAAUCCAGAGGGUAUGCCUGUUUGAGUGUCAUUAGCAUCAUCAAAUCCAGAUUUUGCUCUGUGAUUUGGACUUUGAAGGCUCUGCUGACUGUUAAAGUCAGCUCCUUUUAAAUGCAUUAGCAGGUUGCAAACAACUGGCCCCAGUUUGAUAACUUAAUCAUCUGUGCUGUCGCUAGUAGUUUUGACCGCUGCGAAUUGUCUUCGGACUUGCCAUCAGGCAAUACAAUUUAAGCUUUGACCUCAAAUCAGGUAGGAUUACCCGCUGAACUUAAGCAUAUCAAUAAGCGGAGGA
rnacentral:misc_RNA from 1 species